AGUGAACGCUGGCGGCGUGCCUAAUACAUGCAAGUCGAACGGAGAUUAAGUAGCUUUCUCUUUAAUCUUAGUUGCGCUCGGGUGUGUAAUAUAUAGCUAACUUGCCCAUUACUAAGGGACAACAGUUGGAAACUACUGCUAAUACCUUAUACUCCGUAUCUAUAUAAUUAGAUUCUGGAAAGUUUUUCGGUAAUGUAUCUGGCUUUAUCGUAUCAGCUAGUUGGUAAGGUUAUGUCUUACCAAGGCUAUGACGCGUAACUGGUCUGAGUGGAUGAUCAGUCACACAGGAACAGAGACACGGUACAGAAUCAUACGGGAGGGAGCAGUAGGGAAUAUUGCUAAAAGGGGGAAAAACUGAAGCAGCAACGCAGCGUGGAGGAUGACACUUUUCGGAGAGUAAACUCCUUUUCUUGGGAAAGAAUUAUGACGGUACCAAAGGAAUAAGCACCGGCUAACUACGUG
rnacentral:rRNA from 1 species